GGGUCCGGGAUCAUUUUCCGGAGGGUGUUUAAGAUGGUCGGGCCGCCAUCCU
rnacentral:ncRNA from 1 species